rnacentral:rRNA from 1 species
UACGAAGGGGGCUAGCGUUGCUCGGAAUUACUGGGCGUAAAGCGCACGUAGGCGGCUUCUUAAGUCGGUGGUGAAAUCCUGGAGCUCAACUCCAGAACUGCCUUCGAUACUGGGGAGCUCGAGUCCGGGAGAGGUGAGUGGAACUGCGAAGUGUAGAGGUGAAAUUCGUAGAUAUUCGCAAGAACACCAGUGGCGAAGGCGGCUCACUGGCCCGGUACUGACGCUGAGGUG